GGCUUAACACAUGCAAGUCGAGGGGCAGCAUGGUCUUAGCUUGCUAAGGCCGAUGGCGACCGGCGCACGGGUGAGUAACACGUAUCCAACCUGCCGUCUACUCUUGGACAGCCUUCUGAAAGGAAGAUUAAUACAAGAUGGCAUCAUGAGUCCGCAUGUUCACAUGAUUAAAGGUAUUCCGGUAGACGAUGGGGAUGCGUUCCAUUAGAUAGUAGGCGGGGUAACGGCCCACCUAGUCUUCGAUGGAUAGGGGUUCUGAGAGGAAGGUCCCCCACAUUGGAACUGAGACACGGUCCAAACUCCUACGGGAGGCAGCAGUGAGGAAUAUUGGUCAAUGGGCGAGAGCCUGAACCAGCCAAGUAGCGUGAAGGAUGACUGCCCUAUGGGUUGUAAACUUCUUUUAUAAAGGAAUAAAGUCGGGUAUGGAUACCCGUUUGCAUGUACUUUAUGAAUAAGGAUCGGCUAACUCCGUGCCAGCAGCCGCGGUAAUACGGAGGAUCCGAGCGUUAUCCGGAUUUAUUGGGUUUAAAGGGAGCGUAGAUGGAUGUUUAAGUCAGUUGUGAAAGUUUGCGGCUCAACCGUAAAAUUGCAGUUGAUACUGGAUAUCUUGAGUGCAGUUGAGGCAGGCGGAAUUCGUGGUGUAGCGGUGAAAUGCUUAGAUAUCACGAAGAACUCCGAUUGCGAAGGCAGCCUGCUAAGCUGCAACUGACAUUGAGGCUCGAAAGUGUGGGUAUCAAACAGGAUUAGAUACCCUGGUAGUCCACACGGUAAACGAUGAAUACUCGCUGUUUGCGAUAUACUGCAAGCGGCCAAGCGAAAGCGUUAAGUAUUCCACCUGGGGAGUACGCCGGCAACGGUGAAACUCAAAGGAAUUGACGGGGGCCCGCACAAGCGGAGGAACAUGUGGUUUAAUUCGAUGAUACGCGAGGAACCUUACCCGGGCUUAAAUUGCAGAUGAAUUACGGUGAAAGCCGUAAGCCGCAAGGCAUCUGUGAAGGUGCUGCAUGGUUGUCGUCAGCUCGUGCCGUGAGGUGUCGGCUUAAGUGCCAUAACGAGCGCAACCCUUGUUGUCAGUUACUAACAGGUUCCGCUGAGGACUCUGACAAGACUGCCAUCGUAAGAUGUGAGGAAGGUGGGGAUGACGUCAAAUCAGCACGGCCCUUACGUCCGGGGCUACACACGUGUUACAAUGGGGGGUACAGAGGGCCGCUACCACGCGAGUGGAUGCCAAUCCCCAAAACCUCUCUCAGUUCGGACUGGAGUCUGCAACCCGACUCCACGAAGCUGGAUUCGCUAGUAAUCGCGCAUCAGCCACGGCGCGGUGAAUACGUUCCCGGGCCUUGUACACACCGCCCGUCAAGCCAUGGGAGCCGGGGGUACCUGAAGUGCGUAACCGCGAGGAGCGCCCUAGGGUAAAACUGGUGACUGGGGCU
rnacentral:rRNA from 1 species